GACGAACGCUGGCGGCGUGCCUAAUACAUGCAAGUCGAACGCUGAAGAGAGGAGCUUACUCUUCUUGGAUGAGUUGCGAACGGGUGAGUAACGCGUAGGUAACCUGCCUUGUAGCGGGGGAUAACUAUUGGAAACGAUAGCUAAUACCGCAUAACACUGGCUGACACAUGUCUUUUAUUUGAAAGGGGCAAUUGCUCCACUACAAGAUGGACCCGCGUUGUAUUAGCUAGUAGGUGAGGUAAUGGCUCACCUAGGCGACGAUACAUAGCCGACCUGAGAGGGUGAUCGGCCACACUGGGACUGGGACACGGCCCAGACUCCUACGGGAGGCAGCAGUAGGGGAUCUUCGGCAAUGGGGGCAACCCUGAACGAGCAACGCCGCGUGAGUGAAGAAGGUUUUCGGAUCGUAAAGCUCUGUUGUAAGUCAAGAACGGGUGUGAGAGUGGAAAGUUCACACUGUGACGGUAGCUUACCAGAAAGGGACGGCUAACUACGUG
rnacentral:rRNA from 1 species